UACGGAGGGGCGAGCGUUAUUCGGAAUUAUUGGGCGUAAAGGGCGCGUAGGCGGCUGUACAAGUCAAAGGUGAAAUCCCUCGGCUCAACUGAGGAACUGCCUUUGAAACUGUACGGCUUGAGGCCGGGAGGGGGUAGCGGAAUUCCCAGUGUAGCGGUGAAAUGCGUAGAUACUGGGAGGAACACCAGUGGCGAAGGCGGCUACCUGGACCGGUUCUGACGCUGAGGCGCGAAAGCGUGGGGAGCAAACGGGG
rnacentral:rRNA from 1 species